UACGAAGGGGGCUAGCGUUGCUCGGAAUUACUGGGCGUAAAGGGAGCGUAGGCGGACUGUUAAGUUAGAGGUGAAAGCCCAGGGCUCAACCUUGGAAUUGCCUUUGAUACUGGCAGUCUUGAGUACGGAAGAGGUACGUGGAACUCCGAGUGUAGAGGUGAAAUUCGUAGAUAUUCGGAAGAACACCAGUGGCGAAGGCGACAUACUGGUCCGUUACUGACGCUGAGGCUCGAAAGCGUGGGGAGCAAACAGG
rnacentral:rRNA from 1 species